UACGUAGGGUGCGAGCGUUGUCCGGAAUUACUGGGCGUAAAGAGCUCGUAGGUGGUUUGUCGCGUUGUUCGUGAAAUCUCACGGCUUAACUGUGAGCGUGCGGGCGAUACGGGCAGACUUGAGUACUGCAGGGGAGACUGGAAUUCCUGGUGUAGCGGUGGAAUGCGCAGAUAUCAGGAGGAACACCGGUGGCGAAGGCGGUUCUCUGGGCAUUACCUGACGCUGAGGAGCGAAAGCAUGGGGAGCGAACAGG
rnacentral:rRNA from 1 species